CUCCCUGACUCCUUGAGAGUCCUGAAGGAACGUUGAAGACGACGACGUUGAUAGGCCGGGUGUGUAAGCGCAGCGAUGCGUUGAGCUAACCGGUACUAAUGAACCGUGAGGCUUAACCUUACAACGCCGAAG
rnacentral:rRNA from 1 species